UACGUAGGGUGCGAGCGUUGUCCGGAAUUAUUGGGCGUAAAGGGCUCGUAGGCGGUUUGUCGCGUCGGGAGUGAAAACGCCGUGCUUAACACGGCGCUUGCUUUCGAUACGGGCAGACUAGAGGUAUGCAGGGGAGAACGGAAUUCCUGGUGUAGCGGUGAAAUGCGCAGAUAUCAGGAGGAACGCCGGCGGCGAAAGCGACUCUCUGGUCUGUAACUGACGCUGAGGUGCGAAAGCUAGGGGAGCAAACGGG
rnacentral:rRNA from 1 species